GACAGAGGGUGCAAACGUUGUUCGGAAUUACUGGGCGUAAAGCGCGUGUAGGCUGCUUGGAAAGUCGGAUGUGAAAGCCCUGGGCUUAACCCAGGAAGUGCACUCGAAACUUCCAAGCUCGAGUCCUGGAGAGGGUGGCGGAAUUCUCGGUGUAGAGGUGAAAUGCGCAGAUAUCGGGAAGAACACCCGUGGCGAAGGCGGCACUCUGGGACGGUACUGACGCUGAGACGCGAAAGCGUGGGGAGCGAACAGG
rnacentral:rRNA from 1 species